rnacentral:rRNA from 1 species
GCAAGUCGAGCGGUAACUGAGAGGUUCUUGCACCUUUGCUGACGAGCGGCGGACGGGUGAGUAAUGCUUGGGAACAUGCCUUGAGGUGGGGGACAACAGUUGGUAACGUCUGCUAAUACCGCAUAAUGUCUACGGACCAAAGGGGGCUUCGGCUCUCGCCUUUAGAUUGGCCCAAGUGGGAGUAGCUAGUGGGUGAGGGAAUGGAGGACAAAGGCAACGAGCCCUAGCUGGUUUGAGAGGAUGAUC